GACGAACCGUGCGAACGUUAUUCGGAAUCACUGGGCUUAAAGGGCGCGUAGACGGGCGACCGCGUCGACGGCUGAAAGCCCCCGGCUCAACCGGGGAACGGGCCUCGAUACGGGUCGCCUCGAGGGGAGGAGGGGGACCUGGAACUGCCGGUGGAGCGGUGAAAUGCGUUGAGAUCGGCAGGAACGCCCGCGGCGAAAGCGAGGUCCUGGACUCUCUCUGACGUUGAGGCGCGAAAGCCAGGGGAGCGAACGGGAUUAGAUACCCUCGUAGUCC
rnacentral:rRNA from 1 species